GAUCCCCUCUAAUUAAUUAGCAUAUUUUUAAUUGACUUAGAAAAUUUUAAAAAAUAGUUUUCUACCACUCACCAAAUAAAUGCUCAUAUAACACAGCGUCAGCUU